AUUGAACGCUGGCGGCAUGCUUUACACAUGCAAGUCGAACGGUAACAGGCCGCAAGGUGCUGACGAGUGGCGAACGGGUGAGUAAUGCAUCGGAACGUGCCCAGUCGUGGGGGAUAACGCAGCGAAAGCUGCGCUAAUACCGCAUACGAUCUAUGGAUGAAAGCGGGGGACCGUAAGGCCUCGCGCGAUUGGAGCGGCCGAUGUCAGAUUAGGUAGUUGGUGGGGUAAAGGUUCACCAAGCCGACGAUCUGUAGCUGGUCUGAGAGGACGACCAGCCACACUGGGACUGAGACACGGCCCAGACUCCUACGGGAGGCAGCAGUGGGGAAUUUUGGACAAUGGGCGCAAGCCUGAUCCAGCAAUGCCGCGUGCAGGAAGAAGGCCUUCGGGUUGUAAACUGCUUUUGUACGGAACGAAACGGUCCUGGUUAAUACCUGGGGCUAAUGACGGUACCGUAAGAAUAAGCACCGGCUAACUACGUGCCAGCCGCCGCGGUAAAAC
rnacentral:rRNA from 1 species